rnacentral:rRNA from 1 species
GACGAACGCUGGCGGCGUGCCUAACACAUGCAAGUCGAACGGAGAUUUCAGCAAUGGAAUCUUAGUGGCGAACGGGUGAGUAACGCGUAGACAACCUACCUUCUAGAUGGGGACAACACUGCGAAAGUGGUGCUAAUACCGAAUGUUGUAUUUUGAACGCCUGUUUAAGAUACUAAAGGUGGCCUCUAUUUAUAAGCUACCACUAGAAGAUGGGUCUGCGUCUGAUUAGCUAGUUGGUGGGGUAAUGGCUCACCAAGGCAACGAUCAGUAGCCGGUCUGAGAGGAUGAACGGCCACACUGGGACUGAGACACGGCCCAGACUCCUACGGGAGGCAGCAGUGGGGAAUCUUCCGCAAUGGACGAAAGUCUGACGGAGCAACGCCGCGUGAGUGAAGAAGGUUUUCGGAUCGUAAAACUCUGUUUUCAGGGACGAAUGUGCAAUAUGUAAAUAAUGUAUUGUAAUGACGGUACCUGACAAGAAAGCCACGGCUAACUACGUGCCAGCCGCCGCGGUAACAC